AUUUGGUAGUAGAGUAUGAGUCAGUAGAGUAUGAGGCAGUAGAGUAUGAUGAAGUAGAGUAUGAGAGAGUAGAGUAUGAAGUAGUAGAGUAUGAGAGAGUAGAGUAUGAAAGUAGAAUAUGAGGUAGUAGAGCAUGAGGCAUUAAAGUAUAAGUCAGUAGAGUAUGAUGUAGUAGAAGUUGAGGCAGUAGAGUAGAGUAUGAGAUAGUAGAGUAUGAGAGUAGAGUAUGAGAGUAGAGUAUGAGGUAUUAGAAGUUGAGCCAGUAGAGUAGAGUAUGAGAUAGUAGAGUAUGAGAGUAGAGUAUGAGGUAGUAGAGUAUGAGAGUAGAGUAUGAGAUAGUAGAGUAUGAGAGUAGAGUAUGAGGUAGUAGAGUAUGGGGAUGUAGAGUAGGUUGGUAGUCGAGUAUUAGGUAGGAGAGUGUGAGGCAGUAGUAUGAGUAAGUAGAGUAUGAUGCAGUAGAUUAUGAGGCAGUAGAGUAUGAGAUAGUAGAGUAUGAGAGGGUAGAGUAUGACACAGUAGAGUAUGAGACAGUAGAGUAUGAGAGUAGAAUAUGAGGUAGGAGAGUAUGAGGCAGUAGAGUAUGAGAUGGUAAAGUAUGAGGUAGUAGAGUAUGAGCCAGUAGAGUAUGAAAUGGUAGAGUAUGAGGUAGUAGUGUAUAAAGUAGUAGAGUUUGAACCAGUAGAGUAUGAGAGGGUAUAGUAUGAAGGUAGAAUAUGAGGUAGUAGAGUAUGAGGCAGUAGAGUAUGAAAUAGUAGAGUAUGAGACAGUAGAGUAUGAGAUAGUAGAGUAUGACGUAGUAGAGUAUGAGGAAGUAAAGUAAGAAAGCAGAAUAUGAGGUAGUAGAGUACGAGGCAGUAGAGUAUGAGGUAGUAGAGUAUGAGACAGUAGAGUAUGAGAUAGUAGAGUAUGAGAUAGUAGAGUAUGAGGCAGUAGAGUAUGAGACGGUAGAGUAUGAGAUAGUAGAGUAUGAGGUAGUAGAGUAUGAGGCAGUAGAGUAUGAAAUAGUAGAGUAUGAGACAGUAGAGUAUGAGAUAGUAGAGUAUGACGUAGUAGAGUAUGAGGAAGUAAAGUAAGAAAGUAGAAUAUGAGGUAGUAGGGUAUGAGGCAGUAGAGUAUGAGGCAGUAGAGUAUGAGAAGAGAAGAGAGAGAGGGAAGAGUGUGGAGGAUAGCGUUGGGACUCAG
rnacentral:lncRNA from 1 species